AGUGAACGCUGGCGGUAGGCCUAACACAUGCAAGUCGAACGGCAGCACAGUAAGAGCUUGCUCUUACGGGUGGCGAGUGGCGGACGGGUGAGGAAUACAUCGGAAUCUACUUUUUCGUGGGGGAUAACGUAGGGAAACUUACGCUGAUACCGCAUACGACCUACGGGUGAAAGCAGGGGAUCUUCGGACCUUGCGCGAUUGAAUGAGCCGAUGUCGGAUUAGCUAGUUGGCGGGGUAAAGGCCCACCAAGGCGACGAUCCGUAGCUGGUCUGAGAGGAUGAUCAGCCACACUGGAACUGAGACACGGUCCAGACUCCUACGGGAGGCAGCAGUGGGGAAUAUUGGACAAUGGGCGCAAGCCUGAUCCAGCCAUACCGCGUGGGUGAAGAAGGCCUUCGGGUUGUAAAGCCCUUUUGUUGGGAAAGAAAAGCAGCAGGUUAAUACCCCGCUGUCCUGACGGUACCCAAAGAAUAAGCACCGGCUAACUUCGUG
rnacentral:rRNA from 1 species